UCAAGCGAACAAGUGCAUGUGGUGGAUGCCUUGGCGAUCACAGGCGAUGAAGGACGCGGUAGCCUGCGAAAAGCCCCGGGGAGCUGGCAAACAAGCUUUGAUCCGGGGAUGUCCGAAUGGGGAAACCCACUCCUUAUGGAGUAUCCAUGACUGAAUACAUAGGUCAUGUGAAGCGAACGCGGUGAACUGAAACAUCUAAGUAACCGCAGGAAAAGAAAUCAACCGAGAUUCCCAAAGUAGUGGCGAGCGAAAUGGGAUGAGCCUUGUACUCUUUAUUUGUAUUGUUAGCCGAACGCUCUGGAAAGUGCGGCCAUAGCAGGUGAUAGCCCUGUAGGCGAAAACAGUAUGAAAGAACUAGGUGUACGACAAGUAGGGCGGGACACGUGAAAUCCUGUCUGAAGAUGGGGGGACCAUCCUCCAAGGCUAAAUACUCGUGAUCGACCGAUAGUGAACCAGUACCGUGAGGGAAAGGCGAAAAGAACCCCGGGAGGGGAGUGAAAUAGAUCCUGAAACCGCAUGCAUACAAACAGUCGGAGCCUCUUUAUGGGGUGACGGCGUACCUUUUGUAUAAUGGGUCAGCGACUUACGUUCAGUAGCAAGCUUAACCGUAUAGGGCAGGCGUAGCGAAAGCGAGUCCGAAUAGGGCGUUCAGUUGCUGGGCGUAGACCCGAAACCAGGUGAUCUAUCCAUGGCCAGGAUGAAGGUGCGGUAACACGUACUGGAGGUCCGAACCCACUAACGUUGAAAAGUUAGGGGAUGAGCUGUGGAUAGGGGUGAAAGGCUAAACAAACCUGGAAAUAGCUGGUUCUCUCCGAAAACUAUUUAGGUAGUGCCUCGUGUCUCACCUUCGGGGGUAGAGCACUGUCAUGGUUGGGGGGUCUAUUGCAGAUUACCCCGCCAUAGCAAACUCCGAAUACCGAAGAGUGCAAUCACGGGAGACAGACAUCGGGUGCUAACGUCCGGUGUCAAGAGGGAAACAACCCAGACCGCCAGCUAAGGUCCCCAAAUAUGGCUAAGUGGGAAACGAAGUGGGAAGGCUAAAACAGUCAGGAGGUUGGCUUAGAAGCAGCCACCCUUUAAAGAAAGCGUAAUAGCUCACUGAUCGAGUCGUCCUGCGCGGAAGAUGUAACGGGGCUAAGCCAUAUACCGAAGCUGCGGAUGCGUGCUUGCACGCAUGGUAGGAGAGCGUUCCGUAAGCCUGCGAAGGUGCCUUGUAAAGGGUGCUGGAGGUAUCGGAAGUGCGAAUGCUGACAUGAGUAGCGAUAAAGGGGGUGAAAGGCCCCCUCGCCGUAAGCCCAAGGUUUCCUACGCAACGUUCAUCGGCGUAGGGUGAGUCGGCCCCUAAGGCGAGGCAGAAAUGCGUAGCUGAUGGGAAGCAGGUCAAUAUUCCUGCACCGUCGUUAGAUGCGAUGGGGGGACGGAUCGCGGAAGGUUGUCCGGGUGUUGGACGUCCCGGUCGCUGCAUUGGAGAAGGCGCUUAGGCAAAUCCGGGCGCAGGAUUCAAGGGUGUGGCGCGAGCGACUUCGGUCGCGAAGCAAUUGGAAGUGGUUCCAAGAAAAGCCUCUAAGCUUCAGUCUAACGAUGACCGUACCGCAAACCGACACAGGUGGGCGAGAUGAGUAUUCUAAGGCGCUUGAGAGAACUCGGGAGAAGGAACUCGGCAAAUUGGUACCGUAACUUCGGGAUAAGGUACGCCCUUGUAGCUUGACUGGCCUGCGCCAGGAGGGUGAAGGGGUUGCAAUAAACUGGUGGCUGCGACUGUUUAAUAAAAACACAGCACUCUGCAAACACGAAAGUGGACGUAUAGGGUGUGACGCCUGCCCGGUGCCGGAAGAUUAAAUGAUGGGGUGCAAGCUCUUGAUUGAAGUCCCGGUAAACGGCGGCCGUAACUAUAACGGUCCUAAGGUAGCGAAAUUCCUUGUCGGGUAAGUUCCGACCUGCACGAAUGGCGUAACGAUGGCCACACUGUCUCCUCCCGAGACUCAGCGAAGUUGAAGUGUUUGUGAUGAUGCAAUCUACCCGCGGCUAGACGGAAAGACCCCAUGAACCUUUACUGUAGCUUUGCAUUGGACUUUGAACCGAUCUGUGUAGGAUAGGUGGGAGGCUAUGAAACCGGAACGCUAGUUUCGGUGGAGCCGUCCUUGAAAUACCACCCUGGUUUGUUUGAGGUUCUAACCUUGGUCCGUGAUCCGGAUCGGGGACAGUGCAUGGUAGGCAGUUUGACUGGGGCGGUCUCCUCCCAAAGGGUAACGGAGGAGUACGAAGGUACGCUAGGUACGGUCGGAAAUCGUGCUGAUAGUGCAAUGGCAUAAGCGUGCUUAACUGCGAGACCGACAAGUCGAGCAGGUGCGAAAGCAGGUCAUAGUGAUCCGGUGGUUCUGUAUGGAAGGGCCAUCGCUCAACGGAUAAAAGGUACUCUGGGGAUAACAGGCUGAUACCGCCCAAGAGUUCAUAUCGACGGCGGUGUUUGGCACCUCGAUGUCGGCUCAUCUCAUCCUGGGGCUGUAGCCGGUCCCAAGGGUAUGGCUGUUCGCCAUUUAAAGAGGUACGUGAGCUGGGUUUAAAACGUCGUGAGACAGUUUGGUCCCUAUCUGCCGUGGGCGUUGGAUAUUUGAAGGGGGCUGCUCCUAGUACGAGAGGACCGGAGUGGACGAACCUCUGGUGUACCGGUUGUGACGCCAGUCGCAUCGCCGGGUAGCUAUGUUCGGAAGAGAUAACCGCUGAAAGCAUCUAAGCGGGAAACUCGCCUUAAGAUGAGAUAUCCCUGGAGGCUUGACCUCCUUGAAGGGUCGUUCGAGACCAGGACGUUGAUAGGUCGGGUGUGUAAGCGCAGUAAUGCGUUCAGCUAACCGAUACUAAUUGCCCGUAAGGCUUGAUCCU
rnacentral:rRNA from 1 species